UCAGAGGUUGCCGUCCAUUCCCC
rnacentral:piRNA from 1 species